rnacentral:rRNA from 1 species
UACGUAGGGUGCAAGCGUUGUCCGGAAUUAUUGGGCGUAAAGAGCUCGUAGGCGGUUUGUCGCGUCGAAUGUGAAAACCCGGGGCUCAACCCCGGGCCUGCAUUCGAUACGGGCAGACUAGAGUUCGGUAGGGGAGUCUGGAAUUCCUGGUGUAGCGGUGAAAUGCGCAGAUAUCGGGAGGAACACCAGUGGCGAAGGCGACUACCUGGCCUGUUCUUGACGCUGAGGCGCGAAAGCUAGGGGAGCA